rnacentral:rRNA from 1 species
AGUGAACGCUGGCGGUAGGCCUAACACAUGCAAGUCGAACGGCAGCACAGUAAGCGCUUGCCCUUACGGGUGGCGAGUGGCGGACGGGUGAGGAAUACAUCGGAAUCUACUUUUUCGUGGGGGAUAACGUAGGGAAACUUACGCUAAUACCGCAUACGACCUACGGGUGAAAGCAGUGGAUCUUCGGACCUUGCGCGAUUGAAUGAGCCGAUGUCGGAUUAGCUAGUUGGCGGGGUAAAGGCCCACCAAGGCGACGAUCCGUAGCUGAUCUGAGAGGAUGAUCAGCCACACUGGAACUGAGACACGGUCCAGACUCCUACGGGAGGCAGCAGUGGGGAAUAUUGGGCAAUGGGCGCAAGCCUGAUCCAGCCAUACCGCGUGAGUGAAGAAGGCCUUCGGGUUGUAAAGCCCUUUUGUUGGGAAAGAAAAGCAGCAGGUUAAUACCCCGCUGUUCUGACGGUACCCAAAGAAUAAGCACCGGCUAACUUCGUG